GCUUUGGCAACUAAUUACUGCAAUACUUCAGCCACUAUGGGAAGUUGGAGUGAGUUUUCAUGUCCUCAGCGAAGGAUUCUAAUUUUAAAUUUUUGAUUCUAUUCAUAAACAUUCCAUUAGGAAGCGAAACUCGAAAAAGCAGUUCCCCGUUCUGCAAAAAUAGAUAAAACCUAAGAUUCGAACCCGCGACCCCCGCUUGAGCGCUGACCUCGCGAUCAACCACUGAGCCACAGAUGUCGUACAAGUUAGGAGAAGGCCCAAUUCUUCGGCAGACGGUGGACUUAAGCCGCAAUGGGACGCACCCUGAGGGAUACCAUGAUAAUAUCAUGGUAUCCCUCCUACAGGGGCUACGGGCAAGUCUUAUAACGGAGCUCGGAGGAACCAACAUACGACCACUUCGACGACGCAAAUACUUAUUUAUUUUGUUACUUGCCUAAUUGGAAACCGGUGUAGUUUUGCAGGGCAUAUUGAUUUUUCAAGCUUUUCGGUCCCUCCAGCGAAUUUCGAGUGCUGUAUCAAUAAGUAUCGACGUUCGUUAUAUUAAUAAAAAUAACAGUCGGCGA